CUGGAAAUUUUAUUUCUAGUGAUUGGAAUGAUGGGAAUUUAAACCCCUUUCAGAGUAACAAUUGGAGGGCAAGUCUGGUGCCAGCAGCCGCGGUAAUUCCAGCUCCAAUAGCGUAUAUUAAACUUGUUGCAGUUAAAAAGCUCGUAGUUGAAUCUCACGUCCCGCCCCAGUGUUUCUCCACUAGGCGGACGCCUCGUUACUUUGAGAAAAUUAGAGUGUUUCAAGCAGGUUUCGCCUGUAUAAUUGAGCAUGGAAUAACCUUGUAUGACCCUGUCGUACCGUUGGUUGGCUUUGGGUAAUGGUUAAUAGGAACGGUUGGGGGCAUUCGUACUCGACUGUCAGAGGUAAAAUUCUUAGAUUUGUCGAUGACGCACGACUGCGAAAGCAUUUGCCAAGGACGCUUCCAUUAAUCAAGAAC
rnacentral:rRNA from 1 species